UCAGUUUGAAAUUAUGCUCAGCUUCCUUUUUAUACUUGCUUCCCGACCUAAAUAUUUAAGAACAUUACAUGUUUGUAACAAAUUUUUAAAAAGCAAUUUAUUCUCUUAUAGGGGCGGGGCCUAAGGGUGAAAUUACUUGUGGGUUUUGUGGAUAUGUUCGGAACUUCGGGGCCAGCCGCAGUGAGGUGUCCCCCAGGGCCUCUUCCUCACACACACCCCUCCUCUCGCAAUUUCCCCCCUGUGAAGCUGCCUCUCCUCCCCCACCCUUUCCCCUUCACCUCGCCUCCUUCCCAUCGCCCCUCCUUUUGCCCUCUUUAGCCACGACACUUUGAAUCAAGCAGAAAUUAAUGCAGAUGAAGCAUUCACUGUCUCAUUGUCUCCUUCAUUCUGGGGAUGGAAAUCGAGAUGACAGCAACAUUGGGGAAAACACUUUGGGGAAGCUUUUAGCGAGUCUGCGGGGUGCCUAUGCACAGUACGCUCAUCAGCCACAAUGUUAACGCCACUGACAGGAGACAUGGUCACCAGCACAACACGCAAAAAAAACUACAUAGUUUGACCUCCAUUGACCUCCACAACUGUCCCACCCAAGAGGAACCAAAGGUGCAGGGCCCAGACACCAAAGGACAUUCCCAGAGGUCCAAGUCUGGUCCGCUGUUUUGUUCCUACACAGUUUUAAACAGAUGAUUUGAAUGUUUGGUGUUCUGUGUCUACAUAUUUUUGAA